rnacentral:rRNA from 1 species
UUGACCUCAAAUCAGGUAGGACUACCCGCUGAACUUAAGCAUAUCAAUAAGCGGAGGAAAAGAAACUAACAAGGAUUCCCCUAGUAACUGCGAGUGAAGCGGGAAAAGCUCAAAUUUAAAAUCUGGCGGUCUUGCGGCUGUCCGAGUUGUAAUCUGGAGAAGCGUUUAUCCGCGUCGGACCGUGUACAAGUCUUCUGGAAGGGAGCGUCGUAGAGGGUGAGAAUCCCGUCUUUGACACGGACAACCGGUGCUUUUGUGAUGC